UGCCUCUGUGUUGCCCUCUCAUUGUUUUCUUCAUGAACAGGGUGUCAACUGAGGCAUACAGUAACCUUGCAGUUGUGACAGAAAUUCUUCAUCAUUGAUUUAUUUCUACACAAUCACUUGCAAGCACAAAU